rnacentral:lncRNA from 1 species
GGAAGUGGAAGAAGGGGGUCUCGGCGGUUGCAAGGGAGAAAAAUUUCCACCAAUUCUUUGGUUGGCUGUUUGGGUAGCCAAACGAGCUUCGUUUUGCGUGAAAUUUUGAGGAAGAGUUCUACUCGAUGCGAGGAACGUUUCUAUGGUGGCUGAUUUUGGUUUCAACGGUCCGAUUUGUAGUGUGGUAGGGAAACUUAACCCUAAAACUUUAAUUAAAUGUUUUUUUUUCUUGGAAAAAAUUAUAGAUCUUGUUGUUAGGAGUUAAAUAGGUAAUAUUUGUGAUACGAAAAAUUUUAUUAGAAGACUUGGGAAUAUUUUUGGAAUUUUGGUGAUGACAAGAAUAUUUUUUGGUUAAUAAACAAUUGCAUUUGGGUUAAAAUUAAUAGGAUUGUUAAGAAUAAAUUAAAUUGUGGUAUAAUUUACAAUUUGUUGAUAUGUAAAUUUUUUUAAGAAUUAUUGGAAUAUUUUUGGUAAUUUUAUUAUGGAAAAAUAAUUAUAUUUAAUUAUUGGAAUUAUUGGAAUUGUUGAAAAAUUAUGGAGUUGUGUUAUGAUUGUAAUUUCAAUGAUAUUUGGACUAGUUGAAAUUUUAUGUAAUAUUGGUGAUACUUGUGAAUGAGGGUAAUUAACCUCAUGGCAUUUCAUUUGCAUCAUGGUUAUGUGAAGGAAUGAUAAAAAUUAUGAAAAGUGCAUGAAAUGGAAAAAAAAAGAAAAAUAAAAUAAAAUAGUAAUGAAAAGUAAAGGCCCGUGUGAGGCAAAUUAAGAAGGGAGUGAGAUCCCUAGGGUGAAAUACCUAAAAGUUUACCUCGGGAAAACUUUGAAUGAGGAGUGUAUUUAGGUACGGACAUGUAUCCUUCGGUGAAAGCCCGAUAAUGAUAAUGCAUUGUAUGACUGUGUGUCACAUGUCCAUAUGCAUUUUAUUUAAUUGUUGAAAAUUGUGGAAUUGUUAUAAUUAUAGAUAUUAAAAAUGUGGGUGAUCAAUGUUAAUGAAAUGAUUCUUUUGUGUUCAUUUGAAACUUAGUAAUCCCCAUUAACCCCUUGGGUGUUAGGCACCCUACUGAGCAAUGUGAAAUGCUCAUCUCUUCCUUUUUACAUCUUUUUAGAUGCAGAUGUCACUCCUAAGGAUCCACAGGUGGGAUAGAGAGGAUUUCAGGAUGCCCUAGGAGGUUUUGGAGCGGCCUAGUGGGUACAGUGUAUUUGUUAUGUUAGCUAUAUUGGAACUUGUAUUCGCAAAUUGUGAACUAUGUAUUUGUAAUGAGACUUUAUUUUGAUUAAUUUGCUCAACUGUGAACUUUUAUUUCUAGACUUUAAUGAUAAUUAUUAUAUCUUGUUGCUCUUGAGUAGUGAUUGGUAUAUUGAUAGUUUGGAUUGUUAGUUGAUGGGAACUCUGGUGUGAUUUAUACGUUGGAAAAAAAAAAAGAUAUUAAAAAUGUGGGUGAUCAAUGUUAAUGAAAUGAUUCUUUUGUGUUCAUUUGAAACUUAGUAAUCCCCAUUAACCCCUUGGGUGUUAGGCACCCUACUGAGCAAUGUGGAAUGCUCAUCUCUUCCUUUUUACAUCUUUUUAGAUGCAGAUGUCACUCCUAAGGAUCCACAGGUGGGGUAGAGAGGAUUUCAGGAUGCCCUAGGAGGUUUUGGAGC